rnacentral:rRNA from 1 species
UGGGGAAUAUUGCACAAUGGGCGCAAGCCUGAUGCAGCCAUGCCGCGUGUGUGAAGAAGGCCUUCGGGUUGUAAAGCACUUUCAGCGGGGAGGAAGGCGAUAAGGUUAAUAACCUUGUCGAUUGACGUUACCCGCAGAAGAAGCACCGGCUAACUCCGUGCCAGCAGCCGCGGUAAUACGGAGGGUGCAAGCGUUAAUCGGAAUUACUGGGCGUAAAGCGCACGCAGGCGGUCUGUCAAGUCGGAUGUGAAAUCCCCGGGCUUAACCUGGGAACUGCAUUCGAAACUGGCAGGCUAGAGUCUUGUAGAGGGGGGUAGAAUUCCAGGUGUAGCGGUGAAAUGCGUAGAGAUCUGGAGGAAUACCGGUGGCGAAGGCGGCCCCCUGGUCAAAGACUGACGCUCAGGUGCGAAAGCGUGGGGAGCAAACAGG